CGAGUGGCGGACGGGUGAGUAAUGUCUGGGAAACUGCCUGAUGGAGGGGGAGUAACUACUGGAAACGGUAGCUAAUACCGCAUAACGUCGCAAGACCAAAGAGGGGGACCUUCGGGCCUCUUGCCAUCGGAUGUGCCCAGAUGGGAUUAGCUAGUAGGUGGGGUAACGGCUCACCUAGGCGACGAUCCCUAGCUGGUCUGAGAGGAUGACCAGCCACACUGGAACUGAGACACGGUCCAGACUCCUACGGGAGGCAGCAU
rnacentral:rRNA from 1 species